GGUGAUGUGGCUCAAUGGAAGAGUGUUUGCCUUGUAUACACAAAGCCUUGGGUUCAAUUCCCAGCACCA
rnacentral:tRNA from 1 species